rnacentral:sRNA from 10 species
CGGAGUCGUCCAGUAUUCUUGAGUUCAAAAGAUUUGAGAGCUGAGAGGUGACCACGACUUCGACAAAUCUACACGGCACUAAAUUUCUAACUGUUAAUUGGAAACAUUUAAAAAAGAAGAAAUCGAAAGUGUUACCUAGUUGUUGACGAAAGGUGUCUACAUAGUUAUGGGUUGUCCAUAGCCACUGAAGCUCGAAAGGCCGAUGUGAUUUCACCUAAAAGCUUAUAGAGGGUCGAGCCUCGAAUCAGUCCGGCAGGGUUGAAUAAGUGGAUUAAGUGAGAGUAGUUAACAACUUAAGUAGUGAUUGGUCUAACCAAUCGACACUGACAGAAUACUUCUCAAAAGGAAGUGGAUAAGAAGGGAAACCAUAAUCUGACAAAAGUUCUGUCUUUAUAAGGUGUAAUCUCAGCCC